UCGCUUUAUUCUCUCUCUCUCUCUCUCGUCGAGAACUUGGGAGGCGAUGUCGCUGAAGGUUUUUCUCCAUCCCCGCUUCGAGCUCAUUACCUCCUCUAUCUGCUGAUUGAGAAUUUCUUAUAACUUCAUAUGUGCUUCACACGUCCAUCCAUGGCGAGGUAGCGCAGAUUGUUGUUUUUUUGGUGUUUUCGGAGCUUGCGGGAGAGAUCCGUGAGGACUUCGAGAGGUGCAGGUGGUUUUCUCUCCAGAAUGUUUCUUAUAAUUUCAUGUGUUCUGAUCCAGUGGUCAUCCGUGUAAAGAACAGCCAACGCAUCCCAUGCAUGAUGCAUGGGAUUAAGGGACAUGACGGACGUAAGGGAUUCUCGACUGAAAGAGGAAACCAGAGUCCGUCAGAAUUCGAAUCGCCCUGGGCCUCACGAGGCUGGUGCAUUAUGUGCCGUAUUUUCAAGGAGAGGCUUCACCGUGUCUGAACUUAUCCUGGGAUCUCGACACCUUAAACUCCACUUCGAGGCUCUUGUGGUUCUUAAUUCGAUUGGUGUUAGAAACUAGGGAGUUUUCAAGUUGGAACGAAACUUUUUCGUUAGAAUUUGUUGUGUUUCAAUCCGUCUUUUCAGAGUGUCUCGACACUGCGACAGAGAAAUUAAUUUUACAGAGUUCAAGUAGGUUUCGCCCACUGUCACAAGAUGAAGUGUGACAUUGUGUAGCUCCUUUUACAUAUCAAUGUCCUCAAGCACAUGCAGCCUUCCAAGCUGUUCACCAGGUCUUCCAUCUGAUGCUGGAAGUAGUGCCAUGGAUCCGUAGAAAUAAUCUAUUGUUGCUCUUUCCUUCUAA